rnacentral:tmRNA from 1 species
GGGGGUGAAACGGCUUCGACGGAGAUUGAGAAGGUUCAUGUGGCAUGCCGAGGCCCCGCUGACCUCGUCAAAAGCGGGAACUUUUUAAGUGCCAUGGAAUAACGC